rnacentral:rRNA from 1 species
UACGGGGGGGAGCAAGCGUUGUUCGGAUUUACUGGGCGUAAAGGGCGCGUAGGCGGCAUUGUUAGUCACUUGUGAAAUCUCCGGGCUUAACUCGGAACGGCCAAGUGAUACUGCAGUGCUAGAGUGCGGAAGGGGCAAUCGGAAUUCUUGGUGUAGCGGUGAAAUGCGUAGAUAUCAAGAGGAACACCUGAGGUGAAGACGGGUUGCUGGGCCGACACUGACGCUGAGGCGCGAAGCCAGGGAGCAAACGGG